GUGCGGUGACCUAGAGGUGGAGCUCCCUCCUCAUAAUCAGGAGGCUUUGAGUUUGAUGCUAGGUAGAGGCUAAUCUUUGAAAUAGACACUCCUGCUCGAGCAGGGGGUUAGACUAGAAGACCUCCAAGGUCCCUUCCAACUCUAUUAUUCUAUGAUCUAAUAUUUUAUGA